rnacentral:rRNA from 1 species
GCACAAGCGGUGGAGCAUGUGGUUAAUUCGAAGCAACGCGAAGAACCUUACCAGGUCUUGACAUCCCUGACAACCGAGAGAUCGGGCGUUCCCCUUCGGGGGACAGGGUGAAAGGUGUGCAUGGUUGUCGUCAGCCCGUGUCGUGAGAUGUUGGGUUAAGUCCCGCAACGAGCGCAACCCUCGACCUUAGUUGCCAGCAUUCAGUUGGGCACUCUAAGGUGACUGCCGGCUAAAAGUCGGAGGAAGGUGGGGAUGACGUCAAAUCAUCAUGCCCCUUAUGACCUGGGCUACACACGUGCUACAAUGGGCGGUACAAAGGGUCGCGAACCCGCGAGGGGGAGCCAAUCCCACAAAGCCAGUCGUAGUCCGGAUCGUAGUCUGCAACUCGACUACGUGAAGUCGGAAUCGCUAGUAAUCGUGGAUCAGCAUGUCACGGUGAAUACGUUCCCGGGUCUU